GCAGGCGCUCGCACUCGGCGGCGGGCGGGCGCGCGGCUGCAGCUGGAGCUCCAGAGCCCGGAGUUGGAGUUGCCGGGAGUUUCCCCCCAACCCCUCCCUUUUCGCGCGCGGCAGCAGGAGCCGGCGCGGGAGCCGCGAGCGGCGGCUAACCAGCACCCGGGCCGGCUAAGCCUUGUCCGGAGCCCGGAGCCCCGCGCGGGGCAGCCCCCGGGGAGGAGCCUCGGGCGCUGGGACGCGUGCCGCGCACUGGCACGGCUGAGGCGCGAGCCAGGCUGCACGUUUCCUGUUUAGAAAGUUCUGCUCCUUCAUAAGGACCUUGAAGUACUAGGAGGAAAGGUGCUUUGUGUGUGGAGUUUUCCGUAAAGUGCAGUCCCAACUAAAAGGCUGCGUUAAAGAUUCACUGCCUGCUGUACUCGCUUGUUCUACAAUGAGUGCCAAAUCUGCUAUCAGCAAGGAAAUUUUUGCACCUCUUGAUGAAAGGAUGCUGGGAGCUGUCCAAGUCAAGAGGAGGACAAAGAAAAAGAUUCCUUUCUUGGCAACUGGAGGUCAAGGCGAAUAUUUAACUUAUAUCUGCCUGUCAG